GACUUUUUUUGGAUCACCAUCAGCACCAUCUCCGUUGUUGCCACUUCAUUCUUCAUCUUAGGGCUUCAAGAGACGUAGGUAUCUAAGAAAAACAUCAAGAAGAAGACAAUGAUGCAGAAACAAAGAUCACCUCUUAUGAAGAUAAUGUUGUACUUUUCAAUUUAAGUUUGUAUAUUAUUUUAAUUGAAUGUUUUUAGCUAGAUUUUGUUUGUAUAUAGAAAAUAGAGAGUAACUUGAAAAAGAUUUAUGAAAUUGUGUUCUUAAUAUUUA